rnacentral:lncRNA from 1 species
UUUACCGACGAAUUCGUCUUUAACGAAUUCGUAAUUAACCUACUAGAAGAUGUGAAGCGUAGCUUGGCUAUUUCUACGAAUAUAAGGAGCCUGUUUCGGUAGAAUUACUGCAUAUAAUGUGGGUUGCUAUGUUUUCUUUUGGUGACUUGUAUAAUCAGCGUAUUUAAUAUUUGUACGUGUUUCAUUGCUUUUGCGAGUUUAUGAGUUGCUUUAUAUUCGACGAAGUGAUUGUUUUAAGUUAUUUUAGAUCAUUAUAUGUCUAUUGUGAUUUAACGUAUCAAAACAGACGUAUACAGAUUGAGAGAUGGCGAUUCAGUGUCAUUCGAUUUAUUUUUGCAUUGGGCUGAUAUUUCUAGCAAUUUUGAUGAUUUUAUUUAUUUAUUUAUUUUUAUUUAUAUU